rnacentral:lncRNA from 1 species
UUCCCUACAUAAACUACUGCGUGGCCUUUUGGAACAUCUCUUGGGAUAGACUUCUCUUCUUUUAGAAAAGGCCAGAUAGUCCAUUUACAGCAUUUAUCGCAGCAAGCUGAUGAAGGUAUGACUUUGCCACCCAUCUUUUGCCAUUUAUUUUGGCAUGCCUUGAGAAACUUACUGUCCAUCAUUCUCAUCAGGUUUGUGUAUGGACUUUGCAGGAAUUGGACCACUACAAUAAAACUGGAGAGAGAGAAGAAAGUACAGUGGUGUUGUCUGUGAGACUCAGACAGGUAUUUAUAAUAGUUGGAAAGUUCCAAUAUUUUCUGAACAUUAAAUGGUAUGACACGGUAUGUAGCUGUGUGGUAAACUAAAGGGUAACUGAUAUCAUAAAUGCACUAGAUGCCUGUGCAUCGCUGUUUCUUUUAUGACAGUGCUUCCUGAUACGAUCAUGUACGAACAUGCACUGCCUGAUUUAAGAGUCAUAUACAUGUACAGAUUGUGCCACAAAAAUCUGUGUUAGCUAGCUCUCUCUUUCUUUGUGAUGUCCCAGGGUGGGGAGUGAUGCCAGAUAAAUAAUCUGUUGAAGUCUUGAAUAUUUAGACCCCACAGUGGUGAAUGAGUAGAUAAGAUAGGAAAGAUGAAAAUGGGAUAAGCUUCUUGGGCACAGUGCUAUGCCCAUUUCCCACUUGUAGCUCUUGUCAUUUUUUAGAUAUAAUAAGUUAUGGAUAUUUACUGAGAGGGGAAUUGAUAGAGAAGAAGGCGGAAGUGUGGGCUUCGCUAAUAUAGAAUUUGACGAAAACUGGGGAGGAAGAGGCUAAUCGCUAUCAAAACGGGAUUUAAUUGUGGCUUAUGACAAUGAUGAGCUUAAAAAUUCAUUUGUGACUUAUGACAGGACAAUGACACAACUUCAGCUAACCGAGGACAUGACCUAAGGUAGGAGGGUACGGAGGUCCCGAAUUAGUAUCAAAGGUUGGUAGGUAGUUGAGCUUUGCGUCUCUUUUCAACGGGUUUAGGCUUGGAGCACUGUGUUUGUCGUAGCAUUAGCCUUGCAACAACAACAACAACAUACUUAAUGCAUUCUCAGUGGGGAGUGGGGUUUGGGAAGGGUAAAGUGUACGCAGUCCAUACCACUACCUCAGAUGAAGUAGAGAGGCUAUUUCCGAAGCAUUAGCCUUAUACGUAAAUUUUCUUUUCAGCUUCUGCAUAUUUCGCUGUUGUUACUGUUUCGUUUCUCUGAAUGCUAAACAUCGCUUUCCUUAUUAAUUGACAUGUUCUCUUCAAUGCCAUUCACUUUUUCAUAAAGACGUUCAUUUAUUGUACUUGAGCCGAGGGUUGUUUUAGAAGCAACCUCUCUACCUCUACGACCACGAUGUAGGAAUAAGGUCUGCGUAUACUCUACACUCCUCAAACUUCACUUUGAGUAUUACAUUACUAAAGUUACAUUCUUUCUUGAGUCUCAUUAUGAGCAUGCACUUUUCCUUUUUAAUGCUGAUUUGAUUCUGUUUGCUUAUGUUAAAGGUUGAACAAGUUAUCAUCUUGAACAAAGAGCAAUUUGCUAGUGCGUACUGCCGUACAGAGGUAAAAUCAUUAUGUAGGCACAUAACUUUCUCUGACAUUAAAGAUUCUCAAUUUUUAAUACAUUGCAUAUAUACUAGUAGUAUAUAUUUUGAGGAACUUUUUGUGUAUGAUGGAUGAUGUAUGGAACAAAGUUAAAGUCGAAAAAAAUAUAAUACUACUGGUAUUGCAGGCUGCAGUAUUUUUGCAGUAAUUUCGAUUUUCGAGGCAUACGUGCAGUUUCAUAAUAGAUGUAUCUGUACUAUAUUCCAAAUCAAAGAUGCUUCUUUAUGUUGUGACAAUAUUAGGAAUUUUAUGCUGUCAACUUUCGAGCCGAGGGUCUAUAGGAAACAAACUCUCUACCUUUGACCAGUGGCGGAGCCGAUUUUCACCAAGGGAUUCACAAGUCCGCCACUUUUCACCAAGGGAUUCACAAGUGAACAGACGAACUAAUCGAAGGAGGUUCGACAGCAACUAUAUAUACAUAAAAAAAAAAUUUAACCAUGUAUAUAGUAUAUAAUUUUUCAUCGAAGGGGGUCAUACAUGUAGCUCCGCCCCUGCCUUUGGCGUAGGGCACAAGGUCUGGAUAUACUUUACCCUCUCCAGAUCAGACCCUAUUUUGUAGGACUAUAUUGGGUAUGUUGUUGUAAGUUAGGUAAACUCUGAGCAAUCAGGUGG